rnacentral:RNase_P_RNA from 1 species
AGUCGGUCAGACGGUUGCGGACAGAAAUGUCUGAGGAAAGUCCGAGCCCCGCAGGGCAGAAUAGCGGCUAACGGCCGCCGAGGGUGACCUUAGGGAAAGUGCAACAGAGAUAUACCGCCGCAAAAGGCUUAGAAUUUUUCUUUGAUGAUGCGAAACACAUCGCCCGUUUGCGGUAAGGGUGGAAAGGCGAGGUAAGAGCUCACCGAUUCCGCGGGAACGCCGGAAUCCUGUAAACCCUAUUCGGAGCAACGCUGACUGUAACCAUACGCCUGCCCGGCGUGUUACGAAAAGCGGCUUGAGCGCAGGGAGCAAUCCCGCGUCGAGAUAGAUAACCGUCCUCGACAGAACUCGGCUUAUCGACCGACUCAA